rnacentral:rRNA from 1 species
UACGGAGGUGGCAAGCGUUGCUCGGAAUCACUGGGCGUAAAGGGCGCGUAGGCGGGGAGGUAAGUCGGGUGUGAAAUCCCUUGGCCCAACCGAGGAACUGCGCCCGAGACUGCUUCUCUUGAGUCCCGGAGAGGAAGGUGGAAUUCCCGGUGUAGCGGUGAAAUGUGUAGAGAUCGGGAGGAACACCGGUGGCGAAGGCGGCCUCUGGACGGUGACUGACGCUGAGGCGCGAAAGCGUGGGGAGCAAACGGG